rnacentral:rRNA from 1 species
UACGGAGGGGGCUAGCGUUGUUCGGAAUUACUGGGCGUAAAGCGCACGUAGGCGGCUUGGUAAGUUAGAGGUGAAAGCCUGGAGCUCAACUCCAGAAUUGCCUUUAAGACUGCCGAGCUAGCAGGUGAGAGAGGUGAGUGGAUUUCCGAGUGUAGAGGUGAAAUUCGUAGAUAUUCGGAAGAACACCAGUGGCGAAGGCGGCUCACUGGCUCAUACUGGACGCUGAGGUGCGAAAGCGUGGGGAGCAAACAGG